AGCUUGCUCCCUGAUGUUAGCGGCGGACGGGUGAGUAACACGUGGGUAACCUGCCUGUAAGACUGGGAUAACUCCGGGAAACCGGGGCUAAUACCGGAUGGUUGUUUGAACCGCAUGGUUCAGACAUAAAAGGUGGCUUCGGCUACCACUUACAGAUGGACCCGCGGCGCAUUAGCUAGUUGGUGAGGUAACGGCUCACCAAGGCGACGAUGCGUAGCCGACCUGAGAGGGUGAUCGGCCACACUGGGACUGAGACACGGCCCAGACUCCUACGGGAGGCAGCAGUAGGGAAUCUUCCGCAAUGGACGAAAGUCUGACGGAGCAACGCCGCGUGAGUGAUGAAGGUUUUCGGAUCGUAAAGCUCUGUUGUUAGGGAAGAACAAGUGCCGUUCAAAUAGGGCGGCACCUUGACGGUACCUAACCAGAAAGCCACGGCUAACUACGUGCCAGCAGCCGCGGUAAUACGUAGGUGGCAAGCGUUGUCCGGAAUUAUUGGGCGUAAAGGGCUCGCAGGCGGUUUCUUAAGUCUGAUGUGAAAGCCCCCGGCUCAACCGGGGAGGGUCAUUGGAAACUGGGGAACUUGAGUGCAGAAGAGGAGAGUGGAAUUCCACGUGUAGCGGUGAAAUGCGUAGAGAUGUGGAGGAACACCAGUGGCGAAGGCGACUCUCUGGUCUG
rnacentral:rRNA from 1 species